UACGUAGGGUGCAAGCGUUGUCCUGAAUUAUUGGGCGUAAAGAGCUCGUAGGCGGUCUGUCGCGUCUGCUGUGAAAACUCGGGGCUUAACCCCGGGCCUGCAGUGGGUACGGGCAGACUAGAGUGCGGUAGGGGAGACUGGAAUUCCUGGUGUAGCGGUGAAAUGCGCAGAUAUCAGGAGGAACACCGGUGGCGAAGGCGGGUCUCUGGGCCGUAACUGACGCUGAGGAGCGAAAGCAUGGGGAGCGAACAGG
rnacentral:rRNA from 1 species